ACCUGAGCGGAGGCUGCACCCGGGGCCUCAGGUUCCGACCCCACCGCGCCUCUAGCCGCAGCUGCCCGCCGGGCAUCCCAGCCCUUCCGCAGCGAGAGGUGGAGCCGGAGGCUGGGUUGUGGGCUCCAGGUGGGCUCUGGGAGGGAUGAAGCAGGCCCUGGUGGACGAUACUGAGGAUGUGUCCCUGGAUUUUGGCAACGAAGAGGAGCUGGCGUUUCGGAAAGCCAAGAUCAGGCACCCGGUGGCCACGUUUUUCCACCUGUUUUUCCGAGUAAGUGCCAUCAUCACCUACGUGGGCUGUGACUGGUUCAGCAGAAGCUUCGUGGGCUGUUUUGUCACCGUGCUUCUCCUCCUGUCCUUCGACUUCUGGUCUGUGAAGAAUGUAACCGGACGACUCAUGGUGGGCCUUCGCUGGUGGAACCAGAUCGACGAAGAUGGGAAAAGCCACUGGAUUUUUGAAGCCAGAAAGGUCUCUCCAAAUACCGUGGCUGCCACAGAGGCGGAAGCUCGGGUCUUCUGGCUCGGCCUCAUCAUCUGCCCCAUGAUUUGGAUCGUGUUCUUUUUUAGCUCCUUAUUUUCCUUGAAGCUCAAGUGGCUGGCCCUCGUGAUAGCUGGGAUUUCUCUCCAAGCCGCUAACCUGUAUGGCUACGUCCUUUGUAAGAUGGGAGGCGAGAGUGACAUCAGCAAAGUCACAGCCAGUUUUCUGUCCCAGACGGUGUUCCAGACGGCCUGUCCAAGAGACUUCCAGAAGCCUGGCCUUGAGGGGCUGGAGAUUCACAAGUACUAGAGUGAGCGUCUCAUGGCAACGAGGAUCUUCUUGGAGUCUGCAUCUCUCUCCUUUUUAUGCUUAUUUUCCGAGGCAGCGAAGGCUCAAGUGAGAGCUUCUGUAAUGGAACAGCUUCCGACAGAGAAGAAAAU